rnacentral:misc_RNA from 1 species
GGCAGUUCAGAGUGAUAGGACCAAGACACCCUAUCCGGGCUCUGGUCGGGGAUGAAGUGGAAUUGCCAUGUCGCAUAUCUCCUGGGAAGAACGCUACAGGCAUGGAGGUGGGGUGGUACCGCCCCCCCUUCUCUAGGGUGGUUCAUCUCUACAGAAAUGGCAAGGACCAAGAUGGAGACCAGGCACCUGAAUAUCGGGGCCGGACAGAGCUGCUGAAAGAUGCUAUUGGUGAGGGAAAGGUGACUCUCAGGAUCCGGAAUGUAAGGUUCUCAGAUGAAGGAGGUUUCACCUGCUUCUUCCGAGAUCAUUCUUACCAAGAGGAGGCAGCAAUGGAAUUGAAAGUAGAAGUGUCUCACUCUGUCACCCAGGAUUGGUUGCAGUGGCACGAUCAUGGCUCAUUGCAGCCUCCACCUCCCAGGCUCAAGUGAUCCUCCUGACUCAGCCUCUUGAAUAGCUGAGACCACAGGCUUGUGUCACCAUGCCCAGAUCCUUUCUACUGGGUGAGCCCUGGAGUGCUGGUUCUCCUCGCGGUGCUGCCUGUGCUCCUCCUGCAGAUCACUGUUGGCCUCGUCUUCCUCUGCCUGCAGUACAGACUGAGAGGAAAACUUCGAGCAGAGAUAGAGAAUCUCCACCGGACUUUUGAUCCCCACUUUCUGAGGGUGCCCUGCUGGAAGAUAACCCUGUUUGUAAUUGUGCCGGUUCUUGGACCCUUGGUUGCCUUGAUCAUCUGCUACAACUGGCUACAUCGAAGACUAGCAGGGCAAUUCCUUGAAGAGCUACUCUUCCACCUGGAAGCCCUCUCUGGCUAAGGACAGGCAGGUGCCCCUCUCUCCAUCAGAGGACACCUGUACUGGAGAGCAACACAGGAUGGUCUCUGCCAUGAACUGGAGGCCAGGAAUCUCCUCACUGAAAAUUACAGUAUGGUAACUUUGCAAAUGGUGGUUGUUUCUUCCAAGACUCCAGCCCUGAUUGCGCAAAACUGAAAGGCAUGUGAAGGGAAGGAAGAGGAAGAGUGCAAAACAUUGAAGAGAGAGCUGAGUGAGCUGAAGAGUGAGGAUAUGAGUAGCCCCAACCCAAACCUGGAGAUGGGGAGAAACCUACAGAAUACUAGCCAGAGCUCCUCCUUGUCUUGGCAGCCUACUAGGGACCUGGGGAAGCAAAAACGAAAGCUGGGCAACAUGCCUGCUUUAGAAUGUUUUCCUUCUACUUACACAUCUUCCACAGGUCUCAGAAUCUUUCCUUCCUCUCAUCCUUUUCUCCUAUCUUCAUAUCUAUCAGAGUAUCCACUGUUUAUUCAACAACUACUACUUGAUGGUCAGACACAAACAAACAAGCUAGGUGCUAAUUAAUAAAGAUACGAGUUUUGGCCGGGUGCGGUGGCUCACGCCUGUAAUCCCAGCACUUUGGGAGGCCGAGGCGGGCGAAUCACGAGGUCAGGAGUUCAAGACCAGCCUGGCCAACAUGGUGAAACCCCAUCUCUACUAAAAAUACAAACAAUUAACUGAGCAUAGUGGUGGGCACCUAUAAUACCAGCUACUCCGGAGGCUGAGGCAGGAGAAUCGCUUGAACCCAGGAGGCAGAGGUUGCAGUGAGCUGAGAUCGCGCCACUGCACUCUAGCCGGAGUGACAGAGUAAGACUCUGUCUCAAAAAUAAAUAAAUAAAUAAAUAAAUAAAUAAAUAAAUAAAUAAAUAAAUAAAUAAAAAAUAAUAAUACAAGUUUUCAUAAGCACACUUCUAA